UACGGGGGGGGGCAAGCGUUGUUCGGAAUUACUGGGCGUAAAGGGUUUGUAGGUGGCUAAUUAAGUCAGACGUGAAAUCCCUCAGCUUAACUGGGGAACUGCGUCUGAUACUGGAUGGCUUGAGAUUGGGAGAGGGAUGCGGAAUUCCAGGUGUAGCGGUGAAAUGCGUAGAUAUCUGGAGGAACACCGGUGGCGAAGGCGGCAUCCUGGACCAACACUGACACUGAGGAGCGAAAGCCAGGGGAGCAAACGGG
rnacentral:rRNA from 1 species